UUGCCCCACGGAUCCUGAAAGAAGGAGAAAUUGGCCAAGUGCAACUCAUUUUACAACCACGAGGAAGCUCUUCCAGAUUUUGGAUUUUCCUUUAGAUUGCAACAAUCCGCGGUUCUUCGAGCCGAAGGGCUCAGAUAUUAAUUAAUUUGUUGCAUCUAUUAAAGGUACGACAACUGGAAUUUAUUUGGGAGGAUCAUCUGAUAUUCUAUUAAUUAUUAUUUAAUUCGGAUCUUACCCAAGGUAUGUGACCAGAAGGAAGGAUUGGAAGAAAAGAAGGAACAAUCGCUUAUAUUUUUUAUUUCUUUUGGAAUCCUUACCUAAGGUACGACAACUGGAAUUUAUUUGGGAGGAUCAUCUGAUAUUCUAUUAAUUAUUAUUUAAUUCGGAU